GUCUAUAAAAAUAAAAAGCCAACCAUUCAAAUCCUCUUAGAAAAAAGAUCAUCUUUCUACAGUUUCUAGCAAAUGCGCAAAAGAGUUAGCAGAUCCUCCACACGUCAUUUUUCUUUUCCUCAUUUGCCACAGAAGGUCUAUUCUCUUUUUGCAGGAUUCUUUUGUCUGUACAAAUGAUGACACUGUCGUGGGGAGUUUCCUCAUGUCACCUCUUUAAAUCCUAUACUGCCCAGCAGAAACCUUUCCUAUUCCAUCAAUGUCCGGUUCAUAUUGCUUGUAAAUGAACACGGUCGCUGCAUUAAGUUCCAACAAGGUCGAAACUAAACCACACAGAUUGAUUUCAAUAAAAUACCUCAUGUAUUUGAGAUUGUAGAAUUAUUACAGCUAAAAGGUCAAAUAACCAUACAAGGAUUAAAUAUACCAAAUUUUAAAUUUCAAUCCAAAUUUCCCCCUAAAUUCUCAUUAAAAGGCCAAAUAAGUCCAUAUAAAAUUAAAUAAACUAAGUAGAUUAUAGCUUGGACUUUAAAACCAUAACAAGUGAUGACCUUAUUUGGCUUUUUAAUGAUAGUUCAAAGAAAAAAUUGGACUAAAAAAUGAAAUUUGAUAUCUUUGAUCCCUAUCGUAUAUGUUAAAAUUGGGUCAGACUUAACUCAUCUCAAAAGCCAGCUCAAGGGAAGGAGUGCUUGUGACCCUUAUAAGGGACACAUUACCUAUUCCCUAUUCCAAACCGAUUUCAAACCGAUGUGGGAUUCAACAGUAUAGUUCAGGGUCAAAUUUGGUAUUUUCACCAAUUAUUAUUCCUUUCAUACUCCUACCACCACAUUAAAUGACAACAGAAUCAACUUGACAAAAUAGAGAAAGAAUGCUUCUGCAUCAGUUAUAAGAAUGGUUUAAAAAGAAACUCCAUGACAAUACACCUAUCUUAUUCAAGAUGGAAAGAGUUCACCUUAUUCUACUCUCAUAUGCAUCAAAUGUAUGGUAUAAUAAGAGAUUUAAGCUUGUGUUGCAUGAUAUUCGCAUGCACUAUUAAAAAAUAUCACAAUGCACUUUGUACAAAAGAUCAUGUAAAGGCAAUUAUAAUAGUAUAAUGUGCAAGAAACACUAAGCAUUAGAAUUUCACUAGCAUAGGCAGUUAAGUUCCUCAACAUGUUGGUUGGUUUAAAAAUUUUUAGAAAGAAUUAUGUUACCUGUGAGAGAACCAGAGAAUUAUUACCCAUAAAAUUAGUAACAUUAGCACAAGUCUCAGCAGUUGUUAACUUGGCAAUCUCCAUUGAAUAGGGUUUCAACAAACUAGUAACACUGUGAUUUUCUCGAAGUAUUCCCACUUCCAGUGGGGUGUCAGCUAAAAUUUGAGCUGCCAUCCUCGGUUGAUUCUUAGUCUUCUCCUUCAACCCUUCAUAUCAAUUGGUAUAUCAUGGAGUUUGAAACAAGCGUAUUUCACAUGCCAUAAGCAUUACGGGUUUCACAAUCUGCCCCCUUCUCCAUAUUGUCUUUCUUCUUGUUAUAGCUAGGGGUCCACUGAAACUACCAUAUCCAAUUGCUUAUUUGUUUCUAUUGCACUGUGGUCCAUAUACUUACCGGAUCCAUCCAUGGCUGGGUAUAAGAAGUAGAUUCUUCAAUUGAUAAAGUAUUUUUACUAUUCCUUACUUACUCCUUCAGCACAAACCAGUGACUAGAGUAUCUGGGUAUGAUUACUCCUUCAGCACAAACCAGUGAUUUGAGCACCGGGUGAUGAUUCCCUUUUAAAGGCUCGUGUAUCUAGCAAUAGGUGCAAGCAGUUCCACCACCGGAAGAUCCAGAUAUCUUAUGUUCACCAGCCAAUUACAGUGCCAAAAGCAAAAAACAAAUUUCAAGGUUAAGAGGAUCAAAUUCCACCUUCAAUUCUUGCUUAGCAAUAUGAAACUUUUUAUAUCCAUUCCCAUAGGAAGAAACCAAGUUUCUUGUUUUCAUAUUCUAUCAGUACGGAACUCAAAAAUUUAUUCAGUGUCGUCUGAAAACAUAAUACAUUUAGCAAGUAUCAACAAUCUACACAAUUUGGAUAACUAACAAUAAAAUGCACUACUUAUCAAAAGAUAUAUUAAUAAUUAUAAUAACAUUCACCAUUAUUCACCCUAAGUUAUCUUGAUGACUUGAUCAUGAGGAAAAGAAAGCCAUCAUCUUUGUCCCACCAAACACAAAAUACACUAUAAAGAUUAAUAUUAAACAUGACAGCGGAAUCAAAGCAUUAGUUAAGCCAAAACAAAAAAGAAAAUUGCCAUACAAGAGAAAAAUGAAAAGUGAAAUUUAGUUAUCAGAAUUAUUCAUUAUAUUACCAGUUCAGCAAAGUAACACCUUUAAAUAAACAUCUACUAAAUUAAACAAUCAAAGGCAGUCCACUAAGAUAUAAAAAAGUUAGCAAAGUUACUUACUCAAGCUUUGCCAGGUCACCAAGAAGUUAGAAGAACCAAUUACAAAGCAUCUAUAAACAGAAAUCCAUGGGUUUAAGAUUGACAUGCUGCAUACCGUAUAUUUCCUAACCCAGAAUCCCGGAUUUAUCAUCAAAACCAAAACCUGGUUCAGUAAGAUCCACUUUUCUCUUAAAGAGAUCCCACAAUUGAGGCACCUGUUCUUGAUACUUGAUCACAAACAUUUCUAAGAAGCGCUUUUCAGAAGGAAUCAAAACUGAUGAUAAACGGAUGUCUGCCUUAAUCAAACCCUUUAAAAGCAAAACUCUUACAACCGAACAUCUAGGCAUGAUCCUCCUCUCCAAACUAAAACAAUACACAACUGGAACUCUAGCGACAUCAGCAGGCUGCCAACCCAUCUUGCACACAAGAAAAUCCAUUGUACGCAUGAACUUCUCCUCAGAAAUUGUCAUACAUAUGGGAUGCUUUCUGAAAAUCAACCAAAUCUCAUCUUCAGAGAAACACCACCUCCUAUACAUCUUCAUCUUAUGUUCCCAUGUUUUAUUUGACAGCGUAUAGAAAACACGAACUGCCUCAACAAAUGCAGUUUUUGAAGGGUCAAAUCCUAGAUUUGUAACCUUUUUAACCCCUUCAGCAAACUUGCCCACUUCUUGGCACAUGACUGACGGACACUGGGUGACCAAGUGAGAUAUUAAAGAUUGAGGGACUCCAAUGCCUCUUAAGUAUGAUAAAUUGUUAGAAAAGCGGUUCACCGGAAAAGUUCUUCCCAUGCGUUUCAGGACCAAAACUACUUUCUCAUUAGAAACAAGAACACUUUUAAUGAUCUCAUACCGUGGGAUCAGAAAUCGCUCUGUACUCCGAACCAACAAAUAUGGAUUCCUACAAAAAAUUAAGGAAAUGUCCGACCUUGAAGCCCCUAUACAACGCAGAAACUCGAACUUGGGCAAGAGCGUCUUUUCUGGGUGUGCUAAAAGCACCUGGGGCCGAUCCCCAACAAUUUUGGAGAUUUGGGAAUUGGUGAAUCCAUGUUCCUUGAGAAAUCUAAGCACUGAGUCUAAUCUUUCAGCAGAUUGAAAAAAGAAACUUAUAUUCUUAUUGUUAGUGGCAGACUGAGCAGAUUUUAGGGUCAAUCCACAUGAAUUAACGAGAUAUGAGACCACUAAUGAGUGCUUAUUCAAAUUCGAUGAUAUGGAAGACGAAAGGGAUAUGAUUACGAAUAAUGACUGAAAACGAAACAUACCCAAUUGUGCAUUUAAGGGCAACAGAGAAACACUCAUAUUCAAAGCUAAUCUUGUACCGGAAAAACCAAACAUUGCAGGCUACGUACCGUGAAACAGCUGAGCUUCAUUGUCUACUCCGGUUAAAUCAGACUAUGGAUGAUCCGAGAUAUUCUCCGAUCGGUAAAUCAUUUCUGCAAUGAGCAGAAAGGAGGCUAAUAACAGAGAACUUGUCGUCGUCUGGACUGAAAACGCUCCGGAUUCAAUGCCUUCUGCUUCAUAAAUAGCUCUGUAUUCAGCGAUUAACAUCACAGAUUAAUUUCAUCUUCCACCCGAAAGCCCACCUGAUGCAAUGUACUCAAAGAUGCAGAGGAAUUCUUAUUCUUAAUUUUGAUUUUAAGGGAGAAAUCGCUAACAAAUCCUGUGUAGAAAAUUUAUUAAUUUAUCUUUAUUUCAAAAUGAAUUAAUUAAAAUAUUUUUAUAUUUUAAAAAAAAUUAAAUUUUUUAAAUUUUUUUAAAAAAUUCAUUAAUCAAUUUAUUUUAAUUUUUAUCAAGAGACAAUAACAUGUAUAGUUAAAAUAAAAAUAAGUUUAAUUAAAAUUCUGUAUUUUUAGUUAGGGGUGUAAAUGAGCCAAGCCGUUCGUGAGCUAUUCGAGGUUCGAUUCGAUAAAAGCUCGACCGAGCUCGACUCGAUUUCUAAACGAGCCAAGCUCGAGCUUAAUUUUUAGGCUCGUUUGAUAAACGAGCCAAGCUUGAGCUCCAUAGUAUUCGGCUCGUUAAGGCUCGUGAGCUCGACUCGUUUCUGAGUUCAUGAGCAGACUCGCGAAUAGGCUCGUAAACAGUCUCGUUAAGUAAACUGAAAUUACUAUCAUAACAGAAAUAAACUAAACCCUUCAUAUACUUUCAUGAGCCAAAUCUGAAUUUUUUAAAAUUUAUCUCUAUAUAGUUUAGUUACACUCUUAAACUUGCAUAUAUUUAGAUCAUUAAGAUUUAAAAACUCAUUUUUAUAAGUUUACAUGCUAAUUUGUAGAUAUACUUAUUUAUCUAAAAUUAUUUUAGUUUUAAACUUAUUAGUUUUAAACUAAAACUCAUUAUACAUUUAAAUAAAUUAAAUUAUUCGUGAAUUAUUUGAGACUCAGCUCGAUAAAAGCUCGACUCAGCUCGAUAAAAGCUCGACUCGUCUAAGCUCGUUUGCUAAACGAGCCAAGCUUGAGCUUCUUAAUACUCGGCUCGAGUUCGAUAUGAGUAAAGCUCGAAUUCGGCUCGAGCUCGAAAAAAUUUUAACGAACCAAGCUUGAGCUCUUCAAAGCUCGGCUCGGCUCGGUUCGUUUACACCCCUAUUUUUAGUCUAUGUAUCAAAUAAGAUUAAUUUAUUUUUUUAAUUAAUUAAGUCUAAUAAAGUCAAAUAUAUCAUAAUUUAAUUUAAUAUUUUUUAAUAAUAAAAUAUUAUUUUUAUAUUUUAAAAUAUCAAAAAUUUAAUAUUUUAAUUAACAUAAAAAUUUAAAUAAAAAUAAUAAAUAAUAAAUAAUUUUUAAAAUUCUAAACAUGAAGUUUUAUUAUAAGAAAUUUAUUAUUAAAAAUAAUAUUUUAUUAUUAAAAUAUUAUUAUAUUAAAUCAUAACUUAUUUUAUUUUUAAGUAAACAUAUGCCUGCAUAGUUGGCUAAAAAAAAUAAAUUUAAUUUAAUUAGUUUUUGAAUAAAAUAUAAAAACUUAAUUAGAUUUAUUUUUAUUUAAAAUUAUAAGAUUAAAUAAUUUAAAUUAUAAAGAUAAAAUAAUAUAAAUUAUUUAUAAUACUUAACUAUUUUUUUAAUAAAAGGAGUUAAAUAUUUAAAAUAUAAAGAUAUUUUAAUUAAAUAAUUUUAAAAUAUGAACCAACUAGUCAAUUUUAUAAAAUAUUAAUAACUUGAUAAUAAUUUUUUUUAUAUAAUCUAGAAUUAAGUUAAUUUAUUUUUUAAAAAUAAAAAUAUCUUAAUAAAGAAUAAGCUUAUUUUAGGUGUGCAUAAAUUAUUUUUAUAUUUAAUUUAUCAUAAUUAUAUUCCGAUUACUAAAUCUAAGUUUAAAAGGUUAAUAAUAAAUUAUCUAAAAUUUUAUUUGGCUAAUAAAAUAAUUUUUAAAAUUUUUAUUUAUAUAUCAAUAAUGUUCUUUUUUAUUAAUUUUAUUAUUUAUUGUCUUUUAAAUGGUGAAAAAAAACUCCAUAAACUAAAACAUAUAACUCUUUUUUGAAAUGAUUAGUGAUGUGGUCGAAAAAAAGUUAAAUAUGAUAUCUUAAUUUGGAAAAAAAAAUAUGAAGUAAUUGGCAUUUAUAAGUAGUCAUUUCGAUCUUCAAAUUAGUAAAUUUGUCAAAGAGAGCGAGUAUAAGUAAAUUAUUUAAAUUUAAAAAAAGUGAAUAAAAAUGCGUACUUUGAAUUUUGUAUAUAUUUUGCUGUUAUACUGCAAAUCGGACUAAUACCAGCUAGUGGAUAAGAGAUAAUGUGAUUGUAGGUAUAAAAGAGAUUUAUUGUAUAAUAUUUUUUAACGAUAACUAGAUGCCAUGAGAAGCUCGGCCAGAUACAUGGGGCGAGUCUCCUAUCAUUAUGAGUAUUGAUCAUCAUAAUGAUCGGAUCUUCUUUUUUAUGAGUGAGACUUGAGAACUUUGUCACAUGGCUCCAUGACAAUGCAUGACAUACUUUGGGCGAAUAUUGUGUCUUAUCAGAAGUCCCCCAUUAGUCUUUGACUAUUUAGAUUCGAAGUUUACAACUGUUUUCUAAGAUUUUGGACACGUGGCUUGCCUGAAUUAGUUUUCCAUACCCACAUCUCUUCGUUUGUACUGAUGAUAAAUGUUUGCUUCGCUUCUCGAACCACAUUUAAACCGGCCGUCAAAACAACAGUAUAAAAUCUCCCUUUCUCCUACAAUUAUUACUUUUGCUCUCAAUUGCUUCCUUCAUCUCUAAAAAAGCUCGAACACUUGGAUCUCUGUUUCAUGCAUUUCUGAAGGUAACUCCUUUUAUCAUUUUUCCUACCUUAGAAAUGAAUAGAUCGUCUUCGUCUUUUUUUUUUUUUGGUAGCUCAACCUCCAACUCUUCUUCCAGCGGCCACAUCCAUGCUCUACCUCCCAUAGUUUCGUUGAGGGCGGUCCAUGAUAGUGAUACCCUUCUAGUGCACAACAUUCCAUUUGUACUGACUGAGAGGGACAUAGAUCAUCUUCAUGACCAUUACCAGAUAUCCCGAGAGAUUUUUCAUAUUUAUGCUCCUAAUCCAAAUGUUCGAAUUGACGACCAAAUCCAUGUUGAAGAUACAAUCAUGAUGUAUGAGGAGCAAUUAAAGGCGUGUCAUCUUUGAUGGACCCAUUCUUUGUUGAAGUCCUCAGGUUUCACAAACUAUUAAGUGUCCAGCUUCAACCAAACAGCUGGAGAAUUCUUAUGGCCUUCCAAUUCGUCUGCUUCAACAACAACAUUAAGUCGAGUGUUGCUCUCUUUUCGUAGUUGGAACCUAGAGGAACGAGGAUUUUUUGUUCUUCAAUGUAAAAAAACAUCAAACUCUCUUUCACCCAAUUCUCUCUUCCUUGAAUAUUGGAAGAAUAAGUUUUUCAUUCUCCACCACCGAGUGUCCGGGGACUUCGGGCAACUCCGGACUGAUUGAAACAUUUAUGUGGAGCCAAAAUGGGAUGGAAUCCAACCGCGAAGAGACGAGAAAGAGGCUCUGGACUUUUUCUAGAAAAUGACUUCGGCCUAUAAAAUAGACAUUAACAUGGCUGUGAGGAACACAACCUUCUCCUGGCAAAGCCAUUUCCAAAUGAAGUGGGCCCAAUUGCCUCAGCCCACCGGUUAUCAAAACCCAAGGAUGAUCUUACCCUCUUCCUCACAGCAGUGUAUUUUACUUUUUAACCACUUAUACCUUUAUACUAUUUUACUUUUUAACCACUAUUUUACCCUCUUCCUCCACACGUCAUUUUUCUUUUCCUCAUUUGCCACAGAAGGUCUAUUCUCUUUUUGCAGGAUUCUUUUGUCUGUACAAAUGAUGACACUGUCGUGGGGAGUUUCCUCAUGUCACCUCUUUAAAUCCUAUACUGCCCAGCAGAAACCUUUCCUAUUCCAUCAAUGUCCGGUUCAUAUUGCUUGUAAAUGAACACGGUCGCUGCAUUAAGUUCCAACAAGGUCGAAACUAAACCACACAGAUUGAUUUCAAUAAAAUACCUCAUGUAUUUGAGAUUGUAGAAUUAUUACAGCUAAAAGGUCAAAUAACCAUACAAGGAUUAAAUAUACCAAAUUUUAAAUUUCAAUCCAAAUUUCCCCCUAAAUUCUCAUUAAAAGGCCAAAUAAGUCCAUAUAAAAUUAAAUAAACUAAGUAGAUUAUAGCUUGGACUUUAAAACCAUAACAAGUGAUGACCUUAUUUGGCUUUUUAAUGAUAGUUCAAAGAAAAAAUUGGACUAAAAAAUGAAAUUUGAUAUCUUUGAUCCCUAUCGUAUAUGUUAAAAUUGGGUCAGACUUAACUCAUCUCAAAAGCCAGCUCAAGGGAAGGAGUGCUUGUGACCCUUAUAAGGGACACAUUACCUAUUCCCUAUUCCAAACCGAUUUCAAACCGAUGUGGGAUUCAACAGUAUAGUUCAGGGUCAAAUUUGGUAUUUUCACCAAUUAUUAUUCCUUUCAUACUCCUACCACCACAUUAAAUGACAACAGAAUCAACUUGACAAAAUAGAGAAAGAAUGCUUCUGCAUCAGUUAUAAGAAUGGUUUAAAAAGAAACUCCAUGACAAUACACCUAUCUUAUUCAAGAUGGAAAGAGUUCACCUUAUUCUAC
rnacentral:lncRNA from 1 species